rnacentral:lncRNA from 1 species
AACCAUCUUGGGAAUCUGACCCCUCUGAAGACCUAGAAGAAGAAGAAGAAGUCCAGCAAGAGGAGAAGGAAGUGGAGGGAGGCGAGGGCGAAGGUGAAGACGAAGGCGAGGAAGUGAAUUCGCCUCACUUAGAACUGAAAUUGCCUCGUUCAGAACUGAAAUCGCCUCGUUCAGAACUGAAAUCUCCCCGUUCAGAGUUGGAAAUCUUCUGCGAAACGAUGGACCAUUGUGGUUUGCGGAAGUAUAUGACAACACAUAUUUCAAAUUUUCGUGGACUGCGUGAAGAAGUCCGUAAGGCAUUG